CUUAACUAGCCCCUAUAACUUCCUGUCACUUGCUCCAAACUAAAACAUUACAAGAUUCACCACUGUGUGUGAUUCUCAGCUAUUCACCUUCUCUUAGCAAUUUUCCCUUGGUUUGGUAAUGAUGAGACACCAACAAUAAAUAUUUGCAGAGGAAGUUCAGAUUCAAAAAUUCAUCUUUCUCUGAUGAAGUAAGGUAAAGGUACCACUGCCAACUGACUGAAAAUUUUGAAAAAAGACAAAGUCUGGGGCAAUUUGACAGCCCAUAAAUGAAUCAUCUUCUACAUAGUUUUAAAAAACUAUAACUAAAACUAUAGUUUUAAAAAAACUGUAUAACUAAAAGGUCUUUUACUGGGAUUGGAAUUUUGUGCAUCUAUUUGGCUGGACAUAGUAUGGACACUGGGCCUUCUAAACCAAGGUUUCAUGGAAAGAAUUAACCCCUAAUUCCUUAGGCAUCUCUUGUAUGUAAUAAAUUACCUAGUAUCAUUCAAGAAAUAUGUAUAGAGAAAAGUCAGGUGCCCUCCAGAAGAGUCCCUCAAAUCAUUUUCUAUGUUCUGUGAUUUCAGACGAGAAACCCCAGCUGAGGAGGCAAAUAUACUCAAGGAAAGUAAUAGUUUCCAAAUGCCUGGCAGUGCCAGGAAGGGGCCAUGUCCAUGGACCACUAUGUAAGGAUAUCUCAGUCUCUAGUCCAGCGUGGUUUAUGGUGCCAAAUAAGUGCCAGGUGAACUCACUACAUCUGACAAAAUCUCAAGGAACCAAGUUUACCAGAUAAUAUUUAUGAUUAUGUGAAAAAGACUGAGGAAAUCACUCAAGUGAUCCAUCAUACAGCACCUCCAGUUCCAAAGAAUACUGACUUACUUCAGCUGUACUGGUCUGGAGCUGCACAUUCUUUUCAGACAACUCUUGUUCCAGUGACUCUUCUCCUGUAACAGAGCCUCCUUCUUAGAAACUAUGGCCUCCCGUUUCUUUAAGUCUGCUUCCAGCUCCUCUAAUUCUUGGCGUUGGUUCAGAACUUUCUCUACUUCUUCAUCUAACCAUUUCUUUUGCUCAUCCAAUUUCUACAUUAAAAUUAAAAAAAAAGUUACUUGUUUUUCCUUCUGCCAUAAAAAUUAUAUGGUAAUAAUAGAAUUUCAGAUUGGCUGAAAUCUCUUAAAUGAACAUUUAAAAACUAUCACUCAGAGUAACUCAGGUAGCCGUCUGAGAUCCUAAAGACAUCAGUGGUUCUAGUCAAGAUGUAGCUAUGUUGUUUUAUAAAGAAUUAAAAUUUACUCCCCAGAUAUGUUAAACAGUCUAGGAUUUUUUAGCCUGACGAAGAAAGGGCUGAUAAUUUUCUAUGCCUAUAUUAAGAACAUGCUGGAAUCUUUUACUCUGUUGUAGUGGUGCACAGUUCCAUCACAGCACUUACACUGGUGGCUGCCCUACGUAUCUAUCUCCCCA
rnacentral:lncRNA from 1 species